rnacentral:rRNA from 3 species
GCAACAGCUCAAAUUUGAAAUCUGGCGCAAGCCCGAGUUGUAAUUUGCAGAGGAUGUUUCGGGUGAAGCCACGGUCCAAGUCCCUUGGAACAGGACGUCAUAGAGGGUGAGAACCCCGUACCUGGCCGUCGGUGCCCCCCGCUGUGAAACUCCUUCGACGAGUCGAGUUGUUUGGGAAUGCAGCUCUAAAUUGGUGGUAAAUUCCAUCUAAAGCUAAAUACCGGCCAGAGACCGAUAGCGCACAAGUAGAGUGAUCGAAAGAUGAAAAGCACUUUGAAAAGAGAGUUAAAAAGUACGUGAAAUUGUUGAAAGGGAAGCGCUUGCGGCCAGACUUGCCCGCGGUUGCUCAGCCCGCCUUUUGGCGGGUGCACUCUUCCGCGGUCAGGCCAGCAUCGGUUUGGGCGGUCGGAUAAAGGCGUCGGGAACGUGGCCUCCCCUCGGGGAGGUGUUAUAGCCCGGCGCGCAAUGCGACCAGCCCGGACCGAGGUUCGCGCUUUGCUAGGAUGCUGGCGUAAUGGCCGUAAGCGGCCCGUCUUGAAACACGGACCAAGGAGUCUAACAUCUAUGCGAGUGUUUGGGUGUCAAACCCGUGCGCGUAAUGAAAGUGAACGGAGGUGGGAACCGCAAGGUGCACCAUCGACCGAUCCUGAUGUCUUCGGAAGGAUUUGAGUAAGAGCAUAGCUGUUGGGACCCGAAAGAUGGUGAACUAUGCGUGAAUAGGGUGAAGCCAGAGGAAACUCUGGUGGAGGCUCGCAGCGGUUCUGACGUGCAAAUCGAUCGUCAA